rnacentral:rRNA from 1 species
CUUUACCAAAGCAGGGAUCUAGUUUUAACAGUGAGGUAGAGAGAGCGCUCGGGAGAGAACGGGGCGCUGAGGAGCGGGGGUGGCGGUGAGUGCGGCCGGCUAAGGCCGCUCAGGGCUACCGUCCACCGUCUGACUGCUGGAGGGGAACGAGACGAGGAAGGAGGGUAGGGAGGUCUAGGCCGGAGGGCGCGAGCGACGGCUGGGAGUCGGUACCGAUCCCAAAGCCCGCGCCGCAGGGGAAGCAGCGGCCGCUCCGAGACCGCCGGACGCCACCGAGCAGGGCGGGUGCACACCGAGGCGGAGUACCUGCAAGGAGGGCGCGGGUGUUACUUUAGGUAAAAGAGAAACACACACACAACCUAAACCUAAAUCUAGCUCCUUCCUCUCUACAGCACCCCUACUCCGCCACCUGUCUCCUUCUCCCGCCUAGACCUAGGUCCGCCGGCACAUAAACUAGACAAACAACUUUACUAGAAUAGAGGAGAGUAGACGGUAGAGAAGAGAGUGACUGGGGCGGAGAGAGCAGAGACGUCCAUCUCACCGGUCUCCUCGUCCGGUUGUAGGGAGAAAUGGAAGGUGGGUUGUGGUUACACCACUCAAAGAGGAGAGGGGGUAGAUGGGGAUCUAGACUUGUAGUUCACGUCAAACAUGCAAAACCAAUAUGAGAUAAAGUCAAACAUGUGUAGAGCAAAACCAAUUUGAGGACAGAAUCUACGGUACCGACUUUGAUCUCGUUUGACACACACACGCAGUGCAAAACCAAGUCAAAACCUACUGACUUUGAUCCAUCUCGUAUGAUACACACACACACAUAGGUAACAUAGUACUGCUUAACUGAACACGAUUUUAAUCUUUACUUUUUUACCAUGUGUCUGUACAAUCAGAUAAAUUGGUGGAAGAGUCUAGUUGAACUGUGUUAUGAUAAACCUACCCAAAAUCAUUAACACCAAUAUAUGAGAUAUUUGAUCCAUCUCGUAUGAUACAACACAACACACGACACGCACAACACGAACAUCCGCGUCAACUCGUUCAAAACCAGUUACAAAGUACCGAGUUAGCUGCUCACCACAAUUUUGUCUUUUAGAACUUUCGUUCAUGAGAGUUAAGUAAGGAGAAAACAACGGCCACGAAUAUAGGAACACCUAUAUGUGUAAAUUAUAGUGUAUACCACGUCUAGAAUUUACUAAGGAUGGAGCUCGAAGGUAGCUUGUGCCGAAGCCAACAAAGAACCAACAAGUUCAUACGAACUACCAAGAAGUAGCUCCCAACUCUACCUGGUACGUGACCAAUGUAGAAGAGGAUAGAGAGGUACAAGAAUUAAAAGAACACGUUACUCACGACCUAAAUCUGUUGUCAAACACGUCAGGUACGAAAAUGUAACUUUUACUCUUCUACUUUACUACCCAAACCUGUCACGACCACAAAGAAAAAAGACCCGUAAUGUAAUGAUUUUACUUGAUAUAAAUGUUAACAACUUGAGGUAUCGAUUAUUCUACUAAUAAAUAAAAAACUCGUAAGCUAUACCUUGUCAAAAUGGUAUACACCGACGAAAGCCCAAUCAUUCAAAACAAGAAGUAAUAUAAAAAGAAUAAUAAGACUUACGGUGGUACCUGAGAAAUCAAAGAAUCAUCAUAUACGAAUUAAACGAAAUGACCUCUGUACGUUAAGGGAGUUUGACGUUCCUUACCACAUUAUAUUCCUCUUUUAGUCUAGACAGAGUGUGGAUGGAAGUUAUUAUUCUCCGGACUAGGAUUAGACAACACGAUGGUACAUGUUUGUAAAUGUUUAAUCUCAGUUCCAAUCUUAGAACAAUAUUGGUAAAUAUUUAAUACACAUGGAACUUGGGUGUACGGUACCAUGGUAAAUUAUUGUACAUGUUUGGUGGUUCCUGAAACGAUCUAAAAAUAUAAAUGUAUCUUGAUUAUAACUAGGUUAGAGUUACGAGAAAAGGAAUUUGACUCAUCCAGUAUAUCUAUCCUCACCUCUUAAUAAAGACUUCACCAGACAGUAUCAAUUAUGUGAGGUCGGGGUUUUUAACUACGAUCUACUGUGACAAUAAAGACGCACAUCGAGUGAUGAACUAAGUGAACAUCUAUCUCGGUAAGGAACGUCUACGGAAGAGGAGAUAACACACCAGUCAAAGAAGUUCAAGACAUCUGUUUUCUUUUUGUUCAAGUAAAAUUAAUGUUACCGAGAGCCAACUUUCAAAAUCGGAGACAUUAACUAGACCCCUAUUGGUAACUGAAGCACAUCCAAUAAACAUCCAAGAAACGGUAAUUAUUGAGUUUAAGUAAUACACAACACAUUGAUCUUGACGUGGAGUUGACUGUCCUUCGUUGUGAACGAUCGUGUAUGUCAAAGAAUAGAUUUAUAAAACAACAGUCAUUCGCUCGUUUAUAACCCUUUUGCUACUUUAUCUUACCUGGAUAGGACAAUCCUAGUAUACUAGGUCAAGGUUCGAAGCUAGAGAACGUUUAUAAUAUUUGUUUCGUAGUACCCUAAUCAAAAAAAAAAAGAUUUAGUCUUCACUUUUUAUGUGAAGUUUCAAAACAACGAAGUAUUUACAACUACAUUCGAAUGGGAGUGUCCAUGAAACAAUCCACUGUGUACGCGGAAGUAAAGUUCACGUUCGGCGGAGAGAGUGACACGUAACAGAGAUCUGCGUGGUGGCAGCCGGCGUCGACGGCUGAUAUGUAUACUAGGUACACAGCACAAAUCAGAGAGACAUUCUGAACUAUACGGACGCAAGGCUGUCUGAGACGGAGAGAAAACCUCUAGUGGGUGGAAAACCUUCUACAAGUAAAAACUAAAGUUGGCGACCUGCUGAGUACAUGAAGACAAUUAUAUCUGGGCGAUCGAACGAGACGAUCGAUACAAAAUACCGACUUGUGAAACGAUGACGUCAAGACAAUUCACAUAAGGAAAAAAUCGUUGACCGCGAGUAAACCUGACGUGUGUCUGCAAUUGUUUAUUAUGUCGUUCUAAUCAUG